UCUUACAGAGCUGGGACUUUUCCUCAAAUAAACUAGGUAGGGUUUUUGGUUGUGGGUUUCCCAGGCUCCCUCUAGUUAUCAGAGUAAUAAGUGAUUUCAGAGUAUUAACGCAGAUUCCACUGCCACUGAAUCAUUUAGAGACUCAAAGCCAGAAGAUGACAUCAGAAACAUAUGUGUUAGUCUGGAGGCAGAACUUGGCCUAAGAAGCAGAGCAAAAUCUCCAGUGGGAGAGCUGGCUUUCAUUGGCCUGGAAAAGACUCCAAGAGUUCCUCUGCUAUAAAAUGGAGAAAAAUAAAAACAAGGGUCGGAGGGUUAUUUCACUUGGAGAAGAUCCCAGGAAGGAGCAAGUCAUUCAUCAGGUGCAGCGAAUGUGGUCCAGGAAAAAGAUGAGCCAGAGCAAAUCCAUCUGAAGGGCCUGAUCCUUGUUGAUAGCUGGCCUGAAAGACAUGCCAGGAUUCCUCCACCCUCUGAAAUUGAUCUAUCACCACUGCACCAUCACCUCCUUACGAGAGGCUGGACGAUGAGAUGACUGAGGCCAUUCCCACCAACCCUGUGGCAGGACACUCUCUCCUAACUGCUCCCCGGGUCUCUCUCCUCUCCCGGACACCUCAUAUCUUCCAAGGUGAAGGAAUUGAGGCACAGAGAAAGUAUGUAACCAGUUCAGGGUUGCACAGAUAGGAAGUGGCCAAGCUGAAACAGAAACAUACUGCCUCUAAAGUGUACAGUCAUUCAAAAACAGCCUGUGUCAGGAAGAGCGACGCACUUGCGGGCUCCGGCCUCCUGACAUACCUGCCCUGGGUGUGACCAAGCAGAUUUCCCAUCCGCCGGAGCCUGCAGGUUCCUCCCACUACAUGGAGAAAAGAGGCGGUCAGCCCUUCCCCCACGCGCCUUGGAGAUGAGAUUGGAGCGUAAUGAACAGCGACCUCUAGUGUGCAGUUCAGGGUUUGCGUUUGGCUAAGAGCACAGAAUGAAAAGAGCGGAGAUGGGAAUUCUGAAAUUCCCCGCAAACAAAGGCAAGAUGGACCGUUUCCUCCUUGUUUUUCCCGGGUAGAGAAGCUCAGGACGAUUUGUUUCACUUGCAUCGCACACAACCAUCAGGGCUGCAGGUGCUACUCAAAGCGCUACCUUUUUAUUUCUCCAGCAGAUUUCCUCCAAAUAGAUCACCAGGAAUUUUUUUUUUUUAAGCCUUCUUGGUUGCUUUUAGAAUUCAGUCCGGUUAGCAUCAACCUCUCUAACUGGGGAGUGUAUACCUGUUGGAGAGAGAGUUGAGGAAGGGAGGAUCGGGGUGGGGGGAUGCUCAUACAGGGGGGUCAGGCAGGGUCUGUGGGGGAAACUCAGGGUCUCCAGCUCGGCCUUUCUCGGUGGCAGCGUCUCUCCGAGGACGGCUGUCUCUCCAUUUCUUCAUCUGACUACCGGCUGUGGAAGACUUCCUUCCCCUGACCUGGUCCUUCCAGUAACAGCCAGCGAGGCCUGCUGCCCUCUCUCCUUCCAGUGUCUCCAGGCCUGCCCACUCUUCUGAAGCCGGGUUUUGAGUCUCAGGGGUGAUGUUUAGGCCAAGUUGGCUCACAGGCUGAUGGUGUUCGCUGGCUCUGAAGAAUGAGGUCAAAGGAUGAUCUCCAAACUCUGUCAGGAGCCAGAGGGAGAGUGUUCAGAGAAAGGCUAAAAUCACAGUGCCUGGUCCAUGACUUUGCUGUUUUGCGAUGUGAAUAGGGGUUUGGGGUUUGGGGAGGGAAUAUAUUUCCCUGUAACUUCAACCCAUUGAAGGUUGUUACAUUCACAGGAUGUUUUUACACUAAGAACUGGGUUUGCCCCCCACCCCCCACCCCACUGCCUUUUAACAAAACUUCAAAGUAGAAAUGCUGCAUUUUUAUUACUGCUUUUACUUUUUCAGUUAUUUGUUUUUUACUGCAUUGGGUCUUAGUUGGUGUGUGUGGGAUCUUUUGUUGUUGUGGGCAGACUCCAGAACAUGUGGGCUCUGUAGUUGCGGCCUGAGGACUUAGUUGAUCCAAGGAAUCUGUGAUCUUAGUUCCCCAACCAGGGAUCAAUCUGAGUCCCCUGCAUUGGAAGGUGAAUUCUCAACCACUGGACCACCAGGGAAGCUCCUUGGCUGUUGUUUUUAAAGCUGUGAGCACAUCAUGGUGCUGGAGCCUUCCUGGUUUCACGAGUGCUUCCUCCUCCCUGCAUUUUUAGAUCACGGACCUAAGCAGGUGCUUCAAGUAGGAGCCAUCCUUCCAGCUGACAAACCAGAUCCUGGACCCAGGCUGUCCCUGGCCCUGUGUGUUCCCUUAACAUCACACUUAGAUGCCAGGAUCGGGAGUGACAGAUGAGGGUGAGCCCGUGAACGAGGUAACAGGAAGAGAUAGGGAGUGGUGGGACUUACACAUAGUCAGGGCCAGGGAAGCCUGUGAGAGUACUGGAUCGGUUCAGCGAGUUUUCCCAGGUGGCCUGGCCAAGCCCGUGGCACAGCUUAGGAACAGGUUUGGGGCAAGAAGAAGGUCAGGCCAAGGGGGAGGGACAUAGUGAAGAAGAAAGGUGGCUGGAGCUCCCUGGCCUUGGAAACAAACAAUUAGCACCUUGGCUCUAUCUUUGGCGAUGUGGAAAGCUGCUAGAAUCCCAGCUCAAGAAGGGUAAGAAAAGUAACAUAAAAAUGAUGGUUCAAUAAAAGCAAUAUUACUCAGCCAUAACGAGGAAUGAAAUCGGGUCAUUUGCAGAGGCGUGGAUGGACCUGGAGUCUGUCAUACAGAGUGAAGUAAGUCAGAAAGAGAAAAACAAAUAUUCUACAUUAACACAUGUAUGUGAAAUCUAGAAAAAUGGUACAGAUGAGCCUAGUUUCAGGGCAAGAGUAGAGACGGAGACGUAAAGAAUGGAUGUGUGGACAUGGUGGGAAGAGGAGAGUGGGAUGAAUUGGGAAAUUAGGUUUGGCGUAAAUACACCACCUUGAGUGAAACCAUAGCUAGUGGGAAGUUGUUGUAUCACACAGGGAGCUCAGCUCGGGGCUCUCUGAUGACCUAGAGGGGUGGGAGGGAGGUCCAUGGCGGGGGGCACAUGUAUAUCAUAGCUGAUUCAUUUGUUGUACGGCAGAAACUAACAACAUUGUAAAUGUUGUUUGUAAAUGAGUAUAAAUAAAUGUUUUUACUUAUACUCCAAUAAAUAAAAAGAAAAAACCAAAAAUGACACCAGUAGGGGAAGAUCAUUCUGGUUGAGGUGGCAAGGGUCGGUGGAGGAGGGUAGCAGAUUUAGAGGGAAGAAGCCUGAGGUGGAAGAUUGUCCCCAUGGGAAUUUAUCAGUGUCUCUUCUCAGGCUGUGAUGGUACAAAAAGAAAGGUAGAAUGGCUAAAUAGUAAGAAACAAAAGUGGCAGCAGGAUUUGCUAGUGAGCUGGAUUAAUGAAGAUUAGGAAUGAGCCAAAGAUUUCUCAGAAGUUCUCCGUCAUGGAAUAGGCAGAUGGUAGCGUGGAUGAAGGGAGCACUCGGGAAGGGCUGGCUUUUCCUGGAAGGAGAUGGUAAUCCAGGUGAGGGCUGCACCCUGCAAGCAGAGCCCCGCUGGAGAAAGGCCAAGGUCACUUUCAAUUCUCACUGACCCCCUUCUACGCCCCUCUGCCUUUGCCUGGCAUAGUUGCCAUUCACCCAAAAUUGCGUGUUGACCCAGCAGAUAUUAAUGGCCUUCUGUCCUUCCUCAAACCUGCAAACCACCUUCUUCACCUCAUGCUCCUACCAGUUACCUGUAGGAGCAGGCGCAGGCACAGGUAGUUUUGGUUCUCCCAUGACUUAUAACUCUUUGGAGGGGAGUGAACCAUAUCUUACGUGUCCUUGAUUUCUCAUAGUAUAUGCUCGGCAUGUCUCUGAACACCAGUGUGUUCUUUACAUGCACCUGUCAGUCAGGGCUCUUCAGAGAACACACACACACACACACACACAUAGACUUAAUUUAAGAAUGGGCUCGCAUGAUUGUGGGGUUCUGGAAAGCCCUAAAUUUGUAGGGCAGGCAGCAGCUAGGAAACUCAGGUGGAAAUAGAUGUUACAGUCUUGACAGCAUUUCUUCUUUGAGAAGCCUGUUCUUGCUCCUAAGGCCUUCAGCGGAUUGAACAAGGCUCAUUCACAUUAUUCAGGGUCAUCUCCUGAAGGUCAACUAUUGUAGAUGUUCACCACAUCAACCAAUUGCCUUCACAGAAACACCUAGAUUAGCAUUUGAUUAAAUAACCAGGUACUAAAUUGACAUAUAUUAAAACUAAGCAUCACGGAGCAUUUGCUAAUGGAAGCAUGUUGAAGCAUCCAGACACAGCUUGUUUCUUUGCACUUUGCUUUAUUGUGCUUCGGGCUUCCCUGAUAGCUUAGCUGCUAAAGAAUCUGCCUGCAAUGCAGCAGACCUGGGUUCGAUCCCUGAAGAAGGGAAAGGCUACCCAUUCAAGUAUUCUGGCCUGGAGAAUUCCAUGGACUGUAUAGUCCAUGGUGUUGCAAAGAGUCAGACACGACUGAGUGACUUUCACUUUCACUUCAUUUACUGUGCUUCACGUAUACUGUGUUCUUGCUUUUUUACAAGUUGGAGGUUUUGGGUAACCUGUGUCAAGCAACCCUAUCAGUGCUAUUUUUCCAACAGCACUUACUCACUUUAUGUCUCUCUUUCACAUUUUGGUAAUUCUCACCAUAUUUCAAACUUUUUCAUUAUUAUUAUAUUUGUUAUAGUAAUAAUAUAAUUAUACAAUAAUUAUAUAUAUAUAAUCUGUGAUAAGUGAUCUUUGAUUAUAACUAUAUAAUUUAUUUAUAUUAUAUAUACUAUAAUAAUAUAAUUGUAUAAUAAUUAUAUAGAUAUAAUCUGUGACCAGUGAACUUCGAUUCUACUACUACAACUUAGCAAUAAAAUAUUUUUAAAUUAAGUAUGUACAUUUUUUUAGGCAUAAUGUUAUUACACACUUAAACGACCACAGUAUAGUGUAAACUAACUUUUAUAUUCACUGGGAAACCAAGAAAUUCAUGUGACUUAUUUUAUUGAAAUAUUUGCUUGACUGUGAUGGUCUGGAACAAAACCUGCAAUAUCUUUGAGGUCUGCUUAUAAUUCAUUGUAUAGGAUUCCACAAAGUGGAAUCUUCAGAGUGAGAAGGGAGAAAGAUCACCGAGAGAACUUGAUAAGAUGCAGCAAAUCUCUGGGGUGUGCAGAGUAGGAAGCCACGCCAUGCUCCUGGCCAACUGGUUCUCAUGAAAUUUUAUGAAUCAGCAGGAACUCACAGA